UACGUAGGGUGCGAGCGUUGUCCGGAAUUAUUGGGCGUAAAGAGCUUGUAGGCGGUCUGUCGCGUCUGCUGUGAAAAUCCGGGGCUCAACCCCGGACUUGCAGUGGGUACGGGCAGACUAGAGUGUGGUAGGGGAGACUGGAAUUCCUGGUGAUAGCGGUGAAAUGCGCAGAUAUCAGGAGGAACACCGGUGGGCGAAGGCGGAUCUCUGGGCCUUACCUGACGCUCGAGGCGACGAAAGCCUAGGGGAGCGAACAGG
rnacentral:rRNA from 1 species